rnacentral:rRNA from 1 species
UACAGAGGUCUCGAGCGUUGGGCGGAAUCACUGGGCUUAAAGCGUGUGUAGGCGGAUCGUUAAGUGCCUUGUGAAAUCCCACGGCUCAACCGUGGAACUGCUUGGCAUACUGGCGGUCUUGAGCAACCUAGGGGCGAGCGGAACAAAUGGUGGAGCGGUGAAAUGCGUAGAUAUCAUUUGGAACGCCAAUGGUGAAAACAGCUCGCUGGGGGUUUGCUGACGCUGAGACACGAAAGCCAGGGGAGCAAACGGG